GAUGAAGAACGUAGCGAAAUGCGAUAAGUAGUGUGAAUUGCAGAAGUACCGUGAAUCAUCGAAUCUUUGAACGCAAAUUGCACUCUCUGGUAUUCCGGGGAGUAUGCCUGUUUGAGGGUCGCUUAACAAACCAUCGAUUUCGUUGCUUUUUUUUAAAAUGAUGUUUAUCGGAUUUGAGCCGUCUUUUUUUUUAUAUUUAAGUGGCUUAAAAUUGAUUUUUUUGGUACGAUCGAAGCGUAUUUUUAUGAUCAAUUUUUGGUUAAAGAAACGCACACGUACCGUUAUUUAUAUGAUGUAAUACGUUUGACUAUUGGAUUUAGUUCAUUCGUAUACGAUAUCUUUCAAUAUUUGACCUCAAAUCAGGUAAGAACACCCGCUGAACUUAAGCAUAUCAAUAAGCGGAGGA
rnacentral:misc_RNA from 1 species